CUGGGGAGGAUUUCAAUCAUCAUGACUGUCACGACCCAGAGCCAGCCUCCCGCUCUCACCAGUCCCUGGGGAGCUGAACCCCCGUCACAUUUUCUUAGCCUUCUCUUUCAUCUCAACUAGCCCUUUCUCCACAAGCGGCCCCUACAUCAUCUUUGAAGGCUGGCACAAACCAGAAGGGAGGGAGGAAAGGAGGGGAGUGGCCUGUGGGGACAUCCCCAGGAAAGAGCUUUGUUUGUGCUCCAGGACAGCUGUCUUGAGGUUCCAUUCAAGAAGGCUGGGCCGGGACAGCCACCAGCCCAACCUUGGGACUGGCUGGAGCCCUCUUGCCCCCCCCCCCCCACGGCAUCUGUGGUCUGGACCAGGCCGGCUGAACCUGGGGCUGGCCAUUUUGAGCAGUGUCAUGGUCACUGCCUCUGACCUCAUCGACCGCAUUGUCCCACCCACCCAUUCUGUACCCAGUGCUCCUGGGCUCCCAUUCUGGCCACUCUCCCACUCAGGCACCGGCUCCCUACGACCUACAGAUUUGGGUUCAGAUGCCUUUCCUUACUAG
rnacentral:lncRNA from 1 species